UCCAGUGACAUGCGACAAUGCCCCGGUACGGCAACGAUGGUGCAGGAAGCCGGUGUAAAUCCGGCACGGUCCCGCCACUGUGAUCGGGGAGCGACCCUCAACAGCCACGGCUCUCAACAGAGCUGGAAGGCGAGGCGAGCGUUGAUCCGAGAGUCAGGACACUCACAUCGUCGCAUCCUUCGAC
rnacentral:ncRNA from 2 species